GGUUAAGCGACUAAGCGUACACGGUGGAUGCCCUGGCAGUCAGAGGCGAUGAAGGACGUGCUAAUCUGCGAAAAGCGCCGGCGAGGUGAUAUGAACCCUUGACCCGGCGAUGUCCGAAUGGGGAAACCCAGUGCAAUCCGUUGCACUAUCGUUAACUGAAUACAUAGGUUAACGAGGCGAACCGGGGGAACUGAAACAUCUAAGUACCCCGAGGAAAAGAAAUCAACCGAGAUUCCCCCAGUAGCGGCGAGCGAACGGGGAGCAGCCCGGAGUCUGAAUCAGCUUGUGUGUUAGUGGAACGGUCUGGAAAGUCCGACGGUACAGGGUGAUAGUCCCGUACACGAAAAUGCACAUGCUGUGAACUCGAAGAGUAGGGCGGGACACGUGGUAUCCUGUCUGAAUAUGGGGGGACCAUCCUCCAAGGCUAAAUACUCCUGACUGACCGAUAGUGAACCAGUACCGUGAGGGAAAGGCGAAAAGAACCCCGGCGAGGGGAGUGAAAAAGAACCUGAAACCGUGUACGUACAAGCAGUGGGAGCCUCUUUAUGGGGUGACUGCGUACCUUUUGUAUAAUGGGUCAGCGACUUAUAUUCUGUAGCAAGGUUAACCGUAUAGGGGAGCCGAAGGGAAACCGAGUCUUAACUGGGCGUUAAGUUGCAGGGUAUAGACCCGAAACCCGGUGAUCUAGCCAUGGGCAGGUUGAAGGUUGGGUAACACUAACUGGAGGACCGAACCGACUAAUGUUGAAAAAUUAGCGGAUGACCUGUGGCUGGGGGUGAAAGGCCAAUCAAACCGGGAGAUAGCUGGUUCUCCCCGAAAGCUAUUUAGGUAGCGCCUCGUGAACUCAUCUUCGGGGGUAGAGCACUGUUUCGGCUAGGGGGCCAUCCCGGCUUACCAACCCGAUGCAAACUACGAAUACCGAAGAAUGUUAUCACGGGAGACACACGGCGGGUGCUAACGUCCGUCGUGAAGAGGGAAACAACCCAGACCGCCAGCUAAGGUCCCAAAGUCAUGGUUAAGUGGGAAACGAUGUGGGAAGGCACAGACAGCCAGGAUGUUGGCUUAGAAGCAGCCAUCAUUUAAAGAAAGCGUAAUAGCUCACUGGUCGAGUCGGCCUGCGCGGAAGAUGUAACGGGGCUAAACCAUGCACCGAAGCUGCGGCAGCGACACUAUGUGUUGUUGGGUAGGGGAGCGUUCUGUAAGCCGUUGAAGGUGUGCUGUGAGGCAUGCUGGAGGUAUCAGAAGUGCGAAUGCUGACAUAAGUAACGAUAAAGCGGGUGAAAAGCCCGCUCGCCGGAAGACCAAGGGUUCCUGUCCAACGUUAAUCGGGGCAGGGUGAGUCGACCCCUAAGGCGAGGCCGAAAGGCGUAGUCGAUGGGAAACAGGUUAAUAUUCCUGUACUUGGUGUUACUGCGAAGGGGGGACGGAGAAGGCUAUGUCAGCCGGGCGACGGUUGUCCCGGUUUAAGCAUGUAGGCGGAGGUUCCAGGUAAAUCCGGUACCUU
rnacentral:rRNA from 2 species